rnacentral:rRNA from 1 species
GAUGAACGCUGGCGGCGUGCCUAAUACAUGCAAGUCGAGCGAACAGACGAGGAGCUUGCUCCUCUGACGUUAGCGGCGGACGAGUGAGUAACACGUGGAUAACCUACCUAUAAGACUGGGAUAACUUCGGGAAACCGGAGCUAAUACCGGAUAAUAUAUUGAACCGCAUGGUUCAAUAGUGAAAGACGGUUUUGCUGUCACUUAUAGAUGGACCCGCGCCGCAUUAGCUAGUUGGUAAGGUAACGGCUUACCAAGGCAACGAUGCGUAGCCGACCUGAGAGGGUGAUCGGCCACACUGGAACUGAGACACGGUCCAGACUCCUACGGGAGGCAGCAGUAGGGAAUCUUCCGCAAUGGGCGAAAGCCUGACGGAGCAACGCCGCGUGAGUGAUGAAGGUCUUCGGAUCGUAAAACUCUGUUAUUAGGGAAGAACAAAUGUGUAAGUAACUAUGCACGUCUUGACGGUACCUAAUCAGAAAGCCACGGCUAACUACGUG